AUCCACGUUAGUCCAUGGUGCAAAGAGGUUCUGGAUAAGCUUGGUGGUUAUGAACUUGAAGAUCGAGGCCUUGUUCCAAUGAAGGGUAAAGGAGAAAUCCAUACCUUCUGGUUGCUAGGACAAGUUCCAAGCUACAAGAUCACCAAGGUUAAACCACCACCACAGAAGCUCACUCAAGAGGCCAUAGAGAUCGCUGCAAAUCGUGUCAUACCUGAUGACGUCUAAAUAAACAACUCGCUGGUACAACUACAAUCAACAACAAAUGAAGAAUGUUACCAGAUACUUUUGGUAAAAUACAAGGAAUGUUAUUCCCGACCCCUUCACGUUAAAUAUAACGUCGGGUAAAUUCAUUGGUCUUAAAGCUUACAUGAUUCAGUAAGCAUUGUAAGAAACAUAUGAAAUGUCUGAAAAUAUUUCAUACGUUUAUAGAACCAAUAAAUGUUACUUUGGUCUGUUGAUAAAAUGAGUUAGAGCAAACGUUUAGCAGUUAAUACUCCCCUAUGAGCAAUGGUUUGAUGAAAUUGAGUCUACAAUAAAACUCCUGUUUCGAGUUAGAGUUGUCUUAUUGAAAUAAGAAUGAAUUCCCUCCAUUGCUAGCAAAGGAAAAUUGAACGUAGAACGUAGUAUAAUCGCAUUGACAUUAUUUUGCUUCAUCAUGGCGUAUAAAUUACGUGUGCCUUAAUUUCAUCUCAACGAAAAGCCACUUGGUAAUGUUUAUUUACGUGCAGCGUCAAAAUUGAACAUUGUAUGGUUAUUUUACAUUAAGAAAACCCCCAGGUUUGCAUUGAAUCUAUGUAACUUGAAUUGUUCAUGACGAGCAAAAAAAGAAUUGAAUAAAUUAUUCGUCAUUUAACA